AUAGCGUAUAUUAAAGUUGUUGCAGUUAAAAAGCUCGUAGUUGGAUCUCGGUUUCGGGCGAGUGGUGCACCUUGCGGUGUUUACUGCCUGCCCGGACGAUUUUGUUGGUUCGUUUAUGGUUCUCUUAACCGAGUGCCAUAAGUGGCCAGCACGUUUACUUUGAAAAAAUUGGAGUGCUCGAAGCAGGCGCUACAGCCUGAACAUUAGUGCAUGGAAUAAUGGAAUAGGAUCUCGGUUCUAUUUCGUUGGCUUUCGGAGUCGAGGUAAUGAUUAAUAGGGACAGACGGGGGCAUUCGUACUGCGACGUUAGAGGUGAAAUUCUUGGAUCGUCGCAAGACGAACUACUG
rnacentral:rRNA from 1 species